CCUACGGGAGGCAGCAGUGGGGAAUAUUGGACAAUGGGCGCAAGCCUGAUCCAGCCAUGCCGCGUGAGUGAUGAAGGCCUUAGGGUUGUAAAGCUCUUUUAUCCGGGACGAUAAUGACGGUACCGGAGGAAUAAGCCCCGGCUACUCUCCAGACCG
rnacentral:rRNA from 1 species